CAAUACAACUGGCGCACGGCGCACGGGUGCGUAACACGUGGGUAACCUGCCCUUUGGUGGGGAAUAACUCCGCGAAAGCGGAGCUAAUUCCGCAUAAGAUCCGCAAGGAUGAAAGCCGCAAGGCGCCGAAGGAGGGGCCCGCGCCCGAUUAGCUAGUUGGUAGGGUAACGGCCUACCAAGGCUUUGAUCGGUAGCUGGUCUGAGAGGAUGAUCAGCCACACUGGAACUGAGACACGGUCCAGACUCCUACGGGAGGCAGCAGUGGGGAAUCUUGCACAAUGGGCGAAAGCCUGAUGCAGCGACGCCGCGUGGGGGAUGAAGCAUUUCGGUGUGUAAACCCCUUUCGAUCCGGACGAAACCCCGCAAGGGAUUGACGGUACGGAUAUAAGAAGCCCCGGCUAACUACGUGCCAGCAGCCGCGGUAAGACGUAGGGGGCCAGCGUUGUUCGGAAUUACUGGGUGUAAAGGGUUCGUAGGCGGUGCGGCAAGUUGGGAGUGAAAUCUCUGGGCUUAACCCAGAGGCUGCUUCCAAAACUGCUGUGCUUGAGUGUGGGAGAGGCGCGUGGAAUUGCUGGUGUAGCGGUGAAAUGCGUAGAUAUCUGCAGGAACACCCGUGGCGAAAGCGGCGCGCUGGACCACUACUGACGCUGAGGAACGAAAGCUAGGGGAGCAAACAGGAUUAGAUACCCUGGUAGUCCUAGCCCUAAACGAUCAGGACUUGGGGUGCCACCCGUUCGGGUGUCGUCCCGGAGCUAACGCGUUAAGUCCUGCACCUGGGGAGUACGGUCGCAAGACUGAAACUC
rnacentral:rRNA from 1 species